GACGAACGCUGGCGGCGUGCCUAAUACAUGCAAGUAGAACGCUGAAACUUGGUGCUUGCACCGAGCGGAUGAGUUGCGAACGGGUGAGUAACGCGUAGGUAACCUGCCUGGUAGCGGGGGAUAACUAUUGGAAACGAUAGCUAAUACCGCAUAAGAGUAGAUGUUGCAUGACAUUUGCUUAAAAUGUGCAAUUGCACCACUACCAGAUGGACCUGCGUUGUAUUAGCUAGUUGGUGGGGUAACGGCUCACCAAGGCGACGAUACAUAGCCGACCUGAGAGGGUGAUCGGCCACACUGGGACUGAGACACGGCCCAGACUCCUACGGGAGGCAGCAGUAGGGAAUCUUCGGCAAUGGACGGAAGUCUGACCGAGCAACGCCGCGUGAGUGAAGAAGGUUUUCGGAUCGUAAAGCUCUGUUGUAAGAGAAGAACGAGUGUGAGAGUGGAAAGUUCACACUGUGACGGUAUCUGACCAGAAAGGGACGGCUAACUACGUG
rnacentral:rRNA from 1 species